UACGUAGGGUGCGAGCGUUAAUCGGAAUUACUGGGCGUAAAGCGUGCGCAGGCGGUUUUGCAAGACAGAUGUGAAAUCCCCGGGCUCAACCUGGGAACUGCAUUUGUGACUGCAAGGCUGGAGUGCGGCAGAGGGGGAUGGAAUUCCGCGUGUAGCAGUGAAAUGCGUAGAUAUGCGGAGGAACACCGAUGGCGAAGGCAAUCCCCUGGGCCUGCACUGACGCUCAUGCACGAAAGCGUGGGGAGCAAACAGG
rnacentral:rRNA from 1 species